UACGGAGGAUCCGAGCGUUAUCCGGAUUUAUUGGGUUUAAAGGGUGCGUAGGCGGUUUGAUAAGUUAGAGGUGAAAUGUCGGGGCUCAACCCCGAAACUGCCUCUAAUACUGUUGGACUAGAGAAUAGUUGCGGUAGGCGGAAUGUAUGGUGUAGCGGUGAAAUGCUUAGAGAUCAUACAGAACACCGAUUGCGAAGGCAGCUUACCAAACUAUAUCUGACGUUGAGGCACGGAAGCGUGGGGAGCAAAUAGG
rnacentral:rRNA from 1 species